UCCUUAUUGUCUUAUCUUUAAUUCUAUUUUUGAAUCACUCCGUUUGGAGUUUUGUAGCUCAAGACGAAGCCAUUUUCCUUAGGCUGGCCGGAUUGGUAUUACCCAGAAUUUCUGGGUACUUUAUUGGUUAUGGCAGUUUUGGACAACUAAAUUUGGGUGGCAAUUUCACUUGGUUAUGGGUAGAAUUUGGGUUAGUGUUCUUCAUGAGAGUUGUAGUGCUAUGUCAUACCUUUCCAAUGCCACAAAAAUCAGGUCAUUUGGACCUGUCUAGCCCAAGUUAUGUCCACUGUUCAUUUGAUCAUUUUUGUACAGUGGUAGUGCACAUUAUCCGGAUUUGACCUAAUUGUUCACUAUCUAAGUGUCACUUUCUGGGCAUAGUUUCUAAAUGAAAAUUGUGUCUUUAUGUGUCUAAUUCCAUUCCCAAUUGGUCUCAUACCAA
rnacentral:misc_RNA from 1 species